rnacentral:rRNA from 1 species
UACGUAGGGGGCAAGCGUUGUUCGGAAUUACUGGGCGUAAAGGGCGCGUAGGCGGCACAGCAAGUCGGGAGUGAAAGCCCGGGGCUCAACCCCGGAAUGGCUUUCGAAACUGCUGAGCUAGAGUACAGAAGGGGCAACCGGAAUUCCCAGUGUAGCGGUGAAAUGCGUAGAUAUUGGGAAGAACACCUGAGGCGAAGGCGGGUUGCUGGGCUGAUACUGACGCUGAGGCGCGAAGCCAGGGGAGCAAACGGG